CAACAUAUGUCUGCACACGAGUCGGAGUCACUUAAUGUGACCUAUACGACAUGCUGGGUGUAAAUAAGUACGCUUAAGUGCUAUGAUCAUAUGAAAGCUGUGCAAUAAAUUGCAGGUCACCUACGAGUCGGAACCACUUAUUGUGGUAUGUACGAUAAGAUAGCACAAAAACUUGGAUCCAAGGUGAUCAUGUGGUGCAAAAGGUGAACAAUCACGUGAAAGUUGUGCCUUGGCUUCGGGCGGGAGGUGCAGUAUAAUAAGCUUUAAAUGCAUAAAUACAUAGCAAUAUGCAAUGCAACAAGACCAAUCACAUGCUAACUCACCUGAAGCUUACCUGAGCCUCCGCAACAUCAAAUAAUAUAAUUCACAAUUCAUACUAAUGCAACAAUAUAGUAAUAAGCGGUAUAGACAUGGCAUACAAAGCAUAAAUUUAUUUAAAAACAUUUUUUGGAAAUAUCAAAGCUUAUAUAUAUAACAAAUGCCCACUCACUUGAGGUUCACGCUACAACUCCUUAGCACAAAUAUUGAGGCAUCCCGAAUAAUCAUCGCCUAGAACAAAUAGUCACGUCUCAGAAUUCUUAUCGAAAGAACACAUAACUUACAUAAAAACACAUCUCUAAGGAUGUUCUAAAGUGAUUUAGGACUCAUUGACCAAAAGUCAACCGUCGGUCAAAAAUCGACGAUAGGGUCCACAACCCUACGUAACUCGAUUCGGAAGAUCUGCAUCAUAAAUUUCCAAUCCAUAACUUCCAAAGAUCCACAUUAUGCUUUUAAAACAUCAUACUAAAGUUUCAUUACAAUCCAACGUUUGGAUAUCCGCCAAUUGUAAAUUCAAGUGGCGGUUAACGUUUUAUUUUACGAGCUUACAAAUCCAAUUCAGGAAGAUCCGUAUAUCAGAUUCUCAAUCCAUAAGUUCCUAUGAUCCUCAUAUAUUACGUAUUAUAAUGUAUUAAAGUUUGGUGACGAUUCAAUGAUCGGAUCGUCGAUUGCUAUAAUAAUCAAGUGGCAGAUUCUAUCAAAACUAUGCUCAUAAGAUAAGAUUUCAUCAAUCUAACUUCACCUAUGGAAUUGGGGUAUCAAACUUAGUUUAGGAAGGUCAAGGAAUGCCUCGGCCCAUGUGCUACCAUACACAGCGGUCGGUUGCCCGGACUCGCCGAAAAAAUUAACUAUUUCUAAAAAUUCUCAAACUUCACAUAAAUGAAGAUCUCAGUGAGUAAGUUUUAUACAUGUGGCCAAGUCCAAUUUGGCUGAGAAAAGCCCCAAUUUCACAAAAACCCGUCUGAACCCUAGAUUUGGGUCGCUUUGAUUCGACCUCGAUUCGAACUCCAACGCCUCCAAACUUGUUUGGGCUUUGUUCUUGGGUUCAAGGUGAGUGGUUUGAUGGUGGUAAUGGUCGAGGAUGCUUUCAUGAUGGGUGGAUCUCCGUCGUGACACAUUCGGAACCCACGGGUUUCGUUCUUCCUCAAAACGGGGUCAAACUAGGUGGAUUAUGGGUGGAAAUGAACGAGGGGAGUUCGGGUAGAUGUUUAAUAGUGGUGGUAGGACGUGAUUCAUCGGAAAAAUCGCCUGAAUGGCAUCGG
rnacentral:lncRNA from 1 species